rnacentral:tRNA from 1 species
CUGUGGCUCUGGGGCAGAGCCUCUGCUUUGCACGCAGAAGGUUCCAAGUUCGAUCCCCGGCAUCUCGA